rnacentral:rRNA from 1 species
AUUGAACGCUGGCGGCAGGCCUAACACAUGCAAGUCGAGCGGAUGAAAGGGGCUUGCUCCUGGAUUCAGCGGCGGACGGGUGAGUAAUGCGCAGGAAUCUACCUCGUAGUGGGGGAUAACGUCUCGAAAGGGGGCGCUAAUACCGCAUACGUUCUGAGGAAGAAAGCAGGGGACCUUCGGGCCUUGCGCUAUGAGAUGAGCUUGCGUCCGAUUAGGUAGUUGGUGAGAUAAUAGCCCACCAAGGCUUUGAUGGGUAGCCGAGCUGAGAGGUUGAUCGGCCACACUGGGACUGAGACACGGCCCAGACACCUACGGGUGGCAGCAGUAGGGAAUAUUGGACGAUGGACGAAAGUCUGAUCCAGCAAUGCCGCGUGAGUGACGAAGGAUUUCGGUCUGUAAAGCUCUUUUCUGAGGGAAGAAAUGACAUGUGAGGAAAUGCUCAUGUCUUGACGGUACCUCAGGAAUAAGGGACGGCUAACUCCGUG